AUAAAAAAUAAAAGAAAAUGACUCUUCACUCUUUAAAUAUUAAUAUAUUCGAAUAUUUUAAGGGUAUGGCUGAACGGGCUAUACACUUUGAAUACAUUUGAAACAAACACAAAAGCUUGCACUCGCAUAGGACGGAGCUUGCAGACGCAGUCAAGUUUCGGCUGCUUCGUCCUCCUUGUUCGGCACCGGAAAAUGACCCAACCCGCCUAGGAGGCCCGCCCAGCCACCUAGCGCCCACCUAGCCCCAUUUUUUGAACACUGCGAUUGACUGAAAGUCUGCAACCCGAAAUUGAAAAAGUUUACCUGCAAAUGUGAGCUUGAGAUUGAGAUUCGGAAGCCGAAGCAAGCACAAGUCAUGGGAACCCUAAAUACAAAAUUUGCUGACUUGGUGCCUGUCUUCGGUGGAAGGAAAUGAUGAAGCUAUCCUAACAUGGAGUUUCUAUGGUCUUGCGAAUAACAAGGUUCGGUUUUUAGGCCCCAAUCUCAAAUUCUGACUAUUUAUUUCUGGUUUGGUUAAGCAAUAGAUUGAUUGGUUUGGUUCUUCUUGCUUGAAACUUGAUAAAUCUUUAUGCAUUCAAUAUUCAUCCAUUGAUGGUUCUUCUUGGUUGGACUGCUUUUCAUUCUUUGGAUAUUGCAUUUUUGUUAUAGAUUUUGACAUUUGAUCAUGCCCUCUUGUUUGCUGAUAGGGGAAAAAAAAAAAAAAAUGAAAGAUUUGUCUCCUCCUCCUCUUGCAUAGGAACACAAAACCAACCCACGAGGAACAGAAAAUAAAAAAUAAAUAAAAAAUAAAUAAAAAAAAAUUACACCACCUUAGUCCUGACCCAAAUGACAUGUGGAAACUGUCAAGCUAACCGUAGGGAGAACUGUAUUCGACCUUAAAGACUGAUCCGAAACCACCUUCUCCAAGUUUAUUGUUGUUUGAAAAGUUUUUGGUUGCACAAACAACAGCGGCCAAGUCAAAUAAUGGUAAUUCAUAAAGAAGACAUAAAGAAGAAAUCUAGGCCUGGAUUUCUUAUAUUUGUGUAGUUCGAACAAAAUAAAUAUAAAAAAAGUCUUUGAGAGGAGUUCAAUGUUCACUUCAUCGCAUUUUUGCAAUGGAAGAUGUUGGUUUAGUUGAGGCUCAUGUAAUCUCUCUUAAUAUCAAAAACAAAAAAACAAAUACAUCUUUUUACACUUGGUCGCUCCUGGCUCUGAUUGUUUCCCUCCUUGGCUGAUCCCACAUGAAAAAAAGCCUACAUGACCUCAAUCAAAUUACUAUAUUCACCCAAAGAUAUCAAUCAGGAAAUAAAAAGAUGGGAAUCGCAGACCAUAUAAGUUGAACCUUUGGACAUCAGCACUAUGUGCCAGUUUGGUACUGCACUGCCUUCAAAGCUAUCAUAUAACCAUAUUUUGAUCUUGCCAUCCACUGAUGUCGAAAAGACAACCAAGUUUCAAGCAAGAAGAACCAAACCAAUCAAUCUAUUGCUUAACCAAACCAGAAAUAAAUAGUCAGAAUUUGAGAUUGGGGCCUAAAAACCGAACCUUGUUAUUCGCAAGACCAUAGAAACUCCAUGUUAGGAUAGCUUCAUCAUUUCCUUCCACCGAAGACAGGCACCAAGUCAGCAAAUUUUGUAUUUAGGGUUCCCAUGACUUGUGCUUGCUUCGGCUUCCGAAUCUCAAUCUCAAGCUCAAAUUUGCAGGUAAACUUUUUCAAUUUCGGGUUGCACAUGAAGCAUGAAAAAAAGUGUUGGAUAAUAUAUUGCAGGAACCGGAAAGUGAAUCAGAUGAUUCAAAACAAAAACAUCACCAGAACCACAACAUCAAUACCCAAAGUGGCCCUUACAUGGACAUUUUCUUUGGUAUGAGGACAGACUGAAUAGACAGGAGCUUCAUGACCUUCAAAAGUAAACAGUCUUUGGCUACAAAAUAUAUCCCAAACCUUAAACAUAUGAAAUUGGUACUUAGGUGACGAGGGGUAAAUUUAAAAGAUAUUCAAUCAAGAACGCAACAACCUUCACACACUCUAGACCUUGACCAAAUACUCUUAUGACUAGUCAACUGUUAGAUAUGAAUUAUACCAAACAAUAACAUACACCGAGCAUACCAAGAUGUACCUGCAGGCCUAGAGAAUUACUAGUGACAACCUAGGCACUCAGAAGGACCCAUCAAUCUAGGCAUCCCCUGUGCUAGCAACAACUAUGGUGAAAGUGUGUGAAGACAACAUAAUCAAGCAAACACCAAACAGCAGAAAAAGAUGACUAGUCAACCGCACAAAUUCAGAUGACUAGUCAACUAUCAAGAACACAAACCCAGAAAAUUUACAGAGAUGGAAACCAUAAAUUGUUUACCUAGAAACCCACCAUUGGGAAAAACUGGGGGUCAUCAACCGACCAGACAAGCCACUAAGCAAAAAAGAUUAUUACAAAGAACACUAGCAAGCUCAAGAAAUUCCUAGGUCUAUUUAGGAAGAUGAGCUAUACCUCCUUUGUGCAAUCUUCUUCUCCAACUUAGCAAAGCUUGAAGCUCAGUUCUUCAUGGCAAUGACAGCUCCUUCUCCAGCUCUUUCAUCCCAUGGCACUAGCUUGCAAGCUCUAACUCAGACAGAAAUGAAAUUUGGAUUCAUGGAGAAAAUGACCAAUUUCUUCAAGAAACCAUACUCUUGAAGAAAUCAAUCUUGAAUCUGACCUAGAUGUAUAUGAUAGAGUGUUUGAUCUAGCAAGAUGAAGUUUUCAUAUUUCAAAUGCAGUUUUCAAAAAGAAACAAUUUGAAAAACUCAAAGAUGAAAAAUAUGAAGGAGGAAGAAGAAGCGAAAGUUUGCUAUGAAACUUUCCAAAAACUUGUCCCCCAAAAGUGACGGACGCCUAAAGAAGAAUUCUUUGGUAUUUACACACAAAAGUUUCCUAGGUCAAAAUGACACAUGGCAGCAGAGAGAGAAAGGAGAAUAGGACAAAAAAGUUGGUUAUCUAGCUGGAAAUCAAGGAUGACUAGUCAUCCAAGAAACAGAUGACUAGUCAUCAUUUUAUGAAAACAGUAUAAUGCAAUGUUAUGCAAUGCACAAUUUACCUUUGUCAAUUUGCAUGAACCUCCAUAUGAUAGUUGUUAGUUAAGAACAUCUAGAGAAGCUAUUCUCAAUCUAAACUUGAGAUUGAUAAAUAACCAUAGAAAUCCUAUUACAAAGUUGUCAAGGGAAGCCAAAAGAAAAACCCAAAAUGCAUACAUUAACAACAUACAUUAAUGAAACCAACCUUGACGGUCUUGUCAUCAGCACAAGUUAUGACCAAAAGUUGGUCGUGAGGGGAAAAGAAUGCCAAAAUCAUUUACACUUCCUAAGUGAGCAUCAAUCUACGUAAGAAAAAUGAUGGGUUGGGUUUAUAGUCACAUACUCAAAAGUUGCAGUUUCCUUGAGAAUCUAUGUUUUUUUUCAUAACUUACUUCCAAUUGUUGUUGCCUCCAGUAUAAGAAUAUAAUUGCACAAUGCGCUUUGCAUAUGCAACCCCUGUUCAAUGAAGAACACGACGGCAGUGAAUAUGAACUACAAGAAAUGAAAAUCAGCAACUCCAUACCAUAGUAUGAGAACAGUCUCACCAAAUAUAGAACCAUCAGGACUCUGUCAGAUACAAUUAACAGAUACAUAUGAAUCCUUGACCAAAGCUUCCUGAAAUAAUUGACAUUGGUUCAAAUUUCAGAUCAUAUCAGUCAGGUUGAGAGAGUAGUACAUAAUCCAGAAGCAGAUGCACCUUUAAGGCCAUCGGGCCUGCAUCAAGAUUCCAGACUCUAAAAUUUCUUGAAAGCAACUUUUUUCCUGAACUAACAUCACAUAGUCCUAUGUCUCCAACACCCCCAGGUUCCAACUGAAGAAACACAUCAGCAGGAUUCAUGAGUGAACUAUCAAAAUUGGUUACCGCACACGAUCAUCCUAAAAAGACAGGAAAUUUAUAAACGAUGGGAGAAAAAAAGAAGAAAAAAAGAACAUAGUUUCUCAUUACUUAACAUAGAAGAAGAGUCUGCCAAGUGGGAUGAAAAUCCAUGCUCAUUGGAGAUGAGCCCUCAUUUAGCGUCAGGGCAAAAGUAGUGGGCAAAACAUUGGGUAUGGCAACCGCGGACAGGUGACUUUGGCCUGGAUCAGUGACAGUUGAUAUUACCUAAACAAAUGAAAGAAAACCAAGGUCAAGAUACAUGAGUUCUAUAAUUAUGUAAUUCUUAACAUAAAAUUGAUUCAGAUUACCUCAUCCAAAAUCAGAAAGAACAUUUUUUUGGACAAGCAUGGAUAGUCAAUAACCUCUAUAGCUGUAGCCACAAAAAUUUAAUCAAAAGUUAAUAAUAACAACUAUGCAAUGUGUAAAAUGACGACACAUUUCAAACAUAAAUUAGAGGGUACCAGUACCCAACAACGUCACUUGAAGAACUAAAAUAAAAUACCUGCGCUCUUUGCAGCAUUGAGAGAUACUGCACCCGGAGAGCGCAUCUUGUGUUACAGAUAAAUUUUUGGCUCAGCAGAAGAAGUUGGAAGUGGAUUUGAUGUUGCUUGUGAAGGCUAAAUGCAGAAGGUUAGAGCAAUCUUAGAAGAAACCAGAAAGACUAAACAAAAUCUUGUUUAAAAAUAGAAAAAGAAAAUCAGCUUGUAUGGCUGAUGAGCAGGAAACAUUGGUUAAUGAGGACCAAUACGAAAAGAAUUUCAGUUUACCAGAACAUAUCUUACUUGCAAACGGUUCCCAGUCGAUAGAGACAAAGAAAAACAGUCCUGCCAUUCACAAACACGAUCAAUAAAAAGCGUUUUAAUAACUGGAUUUGGACAAAAAUCAGUAAGUGUAGACACCGAGCAGGACAUUGGUUAAUGAGGACAAAUACUUAGGAAAAAUAAAUUUAUGUCACCAUUACAUGUCUUACUUCCAAAUUGUUUUCAAUUGGUUGAGGCAAAGGAACAUUUUCCGGUGGUUCACAAACAUGAUCAACGAAAAGAGUCUUAAUGACUGGAUUUGGACGAGGGUCUUUACACUGUUAAUGCUGCCAAUUCAAGCUGUCAAGUUAAACACACAAGUCAGUGUCUCUCCCAAUUACAAAAAACUGAAAGUGACUAAAUCUUUUACUAAAUAUAAGAAUAAAAAGUACUCUCUCUCUCUCUCACACAAACGCACACAGGCAUAUGUAUGAACAUAUGCAAUCACAAAAUAGAAAGGAAGACCAAAACUAGAGAGGAAGCAUUACUUUUGGUUAAUGAGUUUAAGCGUAUGCCUUUUGUAACAGUACAAGUAGCAAUAGCAUAAGGGGAAGGGCAUUUCUCUGAAAGGGACUUUUUUUUCCUCAAGUAGGACUAUGAAUUAAGUUGAAGAGGGAGAGCGUCUCUCUCUCUCUCUCUCUCUCUAAUUUAUAGUGCAAAAGCCAACAUGACUAGCAUAAGGAUAUGCUCAUCCAAGGCGGAAUGAGGCAAUUAUUUCGAAGGGAACUUAAAUGCUCAGAAUCCACGAAUGCUUUCUUGGCCGUGAAAGCUUGCCAAAUACAUUUUCACAACAUUUCUACAAUAUUACCAUUUUCGUAAAUAACUAUGCUGGUCUGGUCGGAUAUUUUUUGCAACGGACAUAUAUAUAUGAUGGUAGCAAACAAUUGUCAUACACAUGAAGAGGGUGAACAUCUCUCUCUCUCUCUCUCUCUCUCUCUCUCUCUCUCUACUUUAUAGUGCAAAACCCAACAUUACUAGCAUAAUCAAUUAGUUGGAAGGGAACUUAAAUGCUCAGAUCAGAUUCACGAAUGCUUUAAGGCCCUGUUUAGUUCAUGGAAGAAGAAAUGGCCAUGAAAGCCAAAUACAUUUCCAACCUAACGUUAUACAAUAUUUACCAUUAUCUUACAAAGCGACAGCGAGAAAACUCGCUAACCACGUGUAUGUUUGUUCUAAAAUAUUAAUUUGAGCUGUCCUCACUUGGCUUGGUAAACUUAAAACACAUUUUUUUGGGGCAAUUUCUUGCUUUCUAUAUUUUUUUUUAAUCAAUGAGAAACUUUAUUAGAAUUUAACAUUACAAUCAAAGACAUCAACAUGACAUCUAAAGUACUAUACUCAAGAGGGCAACAAACUACCUGCUUCAAUUCAACAUCUACUUUGUUGUUCAAGAUGGUAUUACAUCUUUCAUCUUUUCAAGUUCAUGUUAUUCAUUUUUCACGUUUAUUGCUAUAUGCAUCUUUUAUCUGUUUGGCCUAAAAGCCACAGGGUAUGCUUCGUUUCAUUUCUUCCCAGAACAAUUUAAAGCACCUAAAUUGCGAUGAAAUUAAGUACAACAUCGCAAAUUAACUACAUCAUCGCAAAAUACAUAUCUAUCACUCCACAAGGGUACCCAUACCUACUGCUUGAAGAAGAAUUACAAAUAUCCCAUGUAUGGCGAAAGAUAAUCCCACACAUGCUAGGAAUAAUGGCGAAGUAUAAACUAAAUUGUAUUUUACGUUUUUAGGUUGCAAACCCAAUUGUGUAAAAGUACUGGAAAAACCAAAAUGUUUUUCCAACGGUGGUGUAGGAAAGAAAGAAGAAACUCCAACGGUAGGGUUGUUGGGAUCCGUGCCGGCAAAAAAGGCGACACCAAAGACGACGACGGGUUUAGGGACUAAGGUAUAAUGCUCGGGAUCUCAUGCAUUUUUCAAUUUCAGUCCUAGAGCAUGGUUCCAUCUUCUAGUACUUUUACAUGGAACAGAAAAUAGCCCUGUUUUUAUGUGUGUGCAGUUUUCUUGACUUGUAAUAAUUGCAUCAACUCUUUGUGAGUUGGGUCUUUGAUUGUAAUCUACUCUCUACUUGUAUUUUGCACUUGUGAGAGUUUAUAGAUUGUAGUUGCAUUGGAAGAUUUGUUCAGGUGUGCGGCUUUUAUGUUGAAAUCGUUUUGGUUUUAUGUUGCAUAUAUUUG
rnacentral:lncRNA from 1 species